AAGUUGGUCACUGGAAGGAGC
rnacentral:misc_RNA from 1 species